rnacentral:rRNA from 1 species
UACGUAGGGGGCAAGCGUUGUCCGGAAUCAUUGGGCGUAAAGCGCGUGUAGGCGGUCCGGUAAGUCCGCUGUGAAAGUCGGGGGCUCAACCCUCGGAUGCCGGUGGAUACUGUCGGGCUUGAGUACGGAAGAGGCGAGUGGAAUUCCUGGUGUAGCGGUGAAGUGCGCAGAUAUCAGGAGGAACACCAAUUGCGAAGGCAGCUCGCUGGGACGUUACUGACGCUGAGACGCGAAAGCGUGGGGAGCAAACAGG